CAGAGACGCAGCUGCGGUGACACCGAGAUCCACUCGGCUCUCUUCUCUUCUGCGUCCUGCUCUAUGGCCUGGGAAGCUGAUCUCCAAGGAUCGCAUUCCUAGGGCUCUCUGGCCCAUGGGCUUCCCGUUGGGUUUGCCCAAUGGACAGCCAUGGCAGAAGAUCAAAGGGAAGAUGGCAGGAAGCUGUCCCCCACUCCUCGCCUGGCUGAGUUCUGGCGAUGGCUGCCAUCCAGGGUCCUGAGUCCCACCAGUUUUUACCCCUUGAAGUGAGAAAGAACACGUCUACAACCCUCCCUCAUUCCAGAGGCUGUGUUUUUGCCCUUUGGUCAUGCAGAUGGGGCUAAAGCGAAGUUACAACAUUGGAAAAUGUCUUCUUAACGUCACACUGAUCUCCUUAAGGCAACGAGCCCCACAUGCUCUCUGAGGCCUGUGCACGUGUUCUGAGGACCCAGUUAUGUGCUGCGUGAUUCCAGAGGUGAACAGACCCUCACAGAUCACCUCUCCUCACCCUCUCAUGAGAGGGAAACUGAGGCUCAGGGGGAGAAUUGGCAAAGGUUACACUUGGUGGUGGGUUUGGAAUCUGCCCUGUGGACGCCCGACUAACCAUUUCUGCCAGAUGCGCGUGGGAAGUAAAAUGGGAAGAGGUGCUCCAUAGGAGGAGGGGACGUGGGUACAGUCACGUGGACCCGUGAGCCGGUCACCUGCGAGGCACCAGGGCCUACAGGAAAGGUGCCCGCUGUCGGCUUCCGCAGGGAAUUUCGUUAUCUUUGUGAGGUAGGGUGGAACUUGCAUCCUGAACAUUAAAGUUUACAUGCCAAGGAGGGCGGUGGAGUCCUUGGAACUUCCUGCCUCCCCCUGAGGCUGCCUCCCCAUGCGAUUGACCUGGUCUGGCUGGGCCUGAUGCUGGGCUCAAAGAGAACACAGGUCUCACCCUCCUAUGUGGCGUGUGGUGAAGACUAAGGAGGUCCCCAGGACCCUGAGGGUUGCCCUUGGGUGCAUUGGAGUAGAGGCCAGGGAAGUCCAUGUCCUUUCCGAGCCAGGCC
rnacentral:lncRNA from 10 species